UAACACGUGGGUGAUCUGCCCUGCACUUCGGGAUAAGCCUGGGAAACUGGGUCUAAUACCGGAUAUGACCUCAGGUUGCAUGACUUGGGGUGGAAAGAUUUAUCGGUGCAGGAUGGGCCCGCGGCCUAUCAGCUUGUUGGUGGGGUAAUGGCCUACCAAGGCGACGACGGGUAGCCGACCUGAGAGGGUGACCGGCCACACUGGGACUGAGACACGGCCCAGACUCC
rnacentral:rRNA from 1 species